GUGCAAAAAUAUCAAAUAACAGGUUUGAACCAUUGCCAACUUCUUGGAGACAUAUUUUACCAAUAUCGGAUUUUCUCAUAUAUAUACCGACAUAUGAAAAGUCUAGAGAGACAAACAGAAUUUUAUGGUCCCACUUAAGAGUACUUUAUUGUUUUCUGAGACAUGGUCUAAUGAAUCAACAUCGUCUUGCUGUUGCAACUGAGACAUUGUUUCUUGGGUGUAAUUAUGCUACAUUAUUAUUGGAUGUUAGCAUUUGCAGAUGUAUUCAAUGAAUGUUUUCAUCAUAGUACUGUUAUCUUGGAAUCGUAUUAAUUAACGCUAUUUGUGUAUGAUAUUGGAAGCAAAAUAGAAAAGAUAUCUACGACGGAUUUUCAGAUGCAUCUUUUUUGGUGUCUACCAUUCAAGGGACAAAUAAAUAAUAUUCGAGAAGGAAAUCUUAAUAGCUUAUAAGAUAUAUACGAAAAUGUGGAAAAAGCACAAAUGACGCCAUAUCUAAAUGUAACAACUACAGAUAAGUACAAGGAAACGAAACAGUCGUUGCUAUGGUUACCAUACGUUAUCAUUACAGUUGUAUGUCUCGUAUUUCUGGCCAUUAACUUCUGGUGUUAUCACAGGAGAAGACGGUUGCAAUAUGAGAGAAAAUCAGAAGUACUUGAGACCAGGGAGCGUGUUAGGGAACGCCGAAUCAUCCUUAAUAUUGUCAAAGCAAAAUACAAGGCGUAUAUUGUAGAUGAUAAAGAAAAUAAUAUAGAAGAAAAGUCGUGUGUUGUUUAUUCAAAUUCUAUGCAAUUUACAUCUACUGGAGUCGCCAACGUGUGAUAAACGGAUGUAUAUUAUUGGAUAUUCAUUAUUUGAUAGUUUUAUGAAAUGGUUUAUGUUUAUUCAUAUGGAACAAAUGGAAAAUGAUUCUUAAUUUGUGUCUACGAAUCCUUUAGCUUUUAAGAAGAAAUAUAAUCAAAAUCAUUAAGAAAUAACUUGUAUAAUAAAAGAGCCUAUUCUUGACAGUAGAUUAACGAUAACUUACAUGAGCCCGCAGAACAAAUCUUGAUCACAAAAUGGGUUGGAGGUACGUGAAACUGUUAGCUUCUAAUUACAUAAACUACAACAAAGUCUAGCUUCCAUGCAGAAAUGAACUUUAUUGGUGUUAAACACUUUUCUAUUUCCAUACAUGAAAUAAUCUGAAUUGUAUCAUUUUUGAUAUCAAUAAAAAUUGAUAUUGAUCUGGAGGUAUUUCCCUUUAAGGUAUCCGAUCCACAAAUAAGUAAAUUUCGAUGCCUGGUAACACAAUGCUUUUGUAUCAUUUCAAAGAGUGUGUCUGCUGAACAAGAAUAAGUAAAUAAAAUGACCAUAAAUAAUAAGCAAGAGUCAUUACAGUCAUGUUUUUGACUGUGAAAUGAUAAAUCUUACACUGUAAUGAGAGGAAUUCUGUUGAAAUAUCAAUGAAGACUAAAUAGUGAAAGAAAAAAGAAAUUCAUAGAAUCAAUAUUUUCUUUUUCAGUAUGCAAUACACUUUCAAAUGAUACCAAAAUAUUAUGAGGUUACCAGGUAACAAUACUUGAUAUAUCUUAAUAAUAUUGUUAUAGAGACCUUGCUUAUUUGUGGAUCGGAUACCUUAAACAGCUAUGUAAUACAUAGAACAUUUCUAUAAAUAUUAUAAGACUUUUGUAGCUUUUGUAAGAGUUUGAAUACGUUUUUCAAUUAGCGGUAGAAAAUUUCAUUUAGAUAUACAUGUGAUUUAUUAUAUUCUAGCUUUAUCACGUUUUGGUGAACUAAAGACAAUUAAAAGAGAAGAAAAUAUCCGCCAAAAAGACCCUAGGAUGAACUUCUAGUAUUUCUUCAAGUAUACGAAACAAAAUCUACAAACUUAUGCAAUCAAUGUAAACUUUAUAAGUCAAGUCAAGUCAAGUCAAAUAGUUUAUUUAUAUAAGUGAUUAAUAUACAAAAAGUAUCAUACAUUUGGGCACUGUUCACUUUGUUAAAGAAUGUCAACAUGUCAACAACAUAAUUGAGCCGCGCCAUGAGAAAACCAACACAGUG